UAUCGUCAGAUACUUCCUAGACUCUUCCUCCAAAACUACUUGGUUAUAACCUUGAGAUAAGUCCAACUUAGAAAACAUUUCUCCACCAUUUAGCUUAGUGAACAACUCCUCACUUGUCGGAAAAGGGUAUUCCGGAGUAUCCAGGUAUGGAUUUACAGUAACUUUAAAGUCUCCAUAUAUUUGUACAGAUCCAUCAGCGUUCAUUGCUGGGACUAUAGGGUCUGUAAGUCUCGUCAUGUGAUUGCCGAGAUUUAGCGAGAUUAUUAACUUCCGGGUACAUCAACAUCUCAGAUUGCACUGUGUAGAGAGUGGUAUACAUAGAUAGAGCGUUAUCAAUCGAUUGUGUGGAGGUUUUAACGAGAUAAACAUGGGAAUUGAAGCAUUAGUGGAGUGGUCGAGGAUUCUUCGCUUCGUGUAUGACGAGUUACCUGUAAUAACCGCCAGUGUACAAGCAUUGACGAGGGUACGUUUUGCAGAUAAAUAGCAGAUAUAAGAACGCAAAUAAAAUUGUUCAAUGUAAAAUACACCAGUAGUUGGAUAAAACAUCCAAAGUCGGCACAGUCAAAGGUCACAACAACAAUGGAGGAAUUAACUGCAUCCUCAUUCCGCAGGGCAACAGGCCAUUUUCAGCAACCCCUGAAAUACUUAAUUGAGGCUAAGUGCCCAUUUUCAGCUCGAACAAUGACAAACAGGCCGGUGCAAAUGUUGGGAUUUCCCUCUUGAAUGUGAUGCAAGGGAUGGUUCGCUGCACCUCAAAACAAAAUAUGAAUAUUGGCAUCAGCUUCAAGGACAACACCACCUGAAAGACACCCAAUGCUGUGAUUUGCUAGUGUGGAUUCCUAGUGACACUCAAAUAAUUCACAUUGACAAAGAUGUAUUAUGGUCAACCUUUUAAGCGUGAUAGAGUUUAAUUAUAAUUAUGAAGUAUUUUUGCAGUCUAAAACACACACACAUAACCACAUGUACAUAUACUUUAUUAUGAUAUCAGUAGUACAUCUAUCAAAGUUAUGUAAUUACAUGUAUAUUUAUUGAAUAAACAUUAUAGACAGAG